UACGUAGGGGGCAAGCGUUGUCCGGAUUUAUUGGGCGUAAAACGCUCGUAGGUGGCCAUGUCAAGUCGGCUGUGAAAUCUCCCGGCUCAACUGGGAGGGGUCAUUCGAUACUGGCAGGCUCGAGGCCGGUAGGGGGAAGCGGAAUUCCGGGUGUAGUGGUGAAAUGCGUAGAGAUCCGGAGGAACCCCAGAGGCGAAGGCGACGCCCUGGCUCGUACCUGACGCUCAGCCACGAAAGCAUGGGGAGCGAACGGG
rnacentral:rRNA from 1 species